rnacentral:rRNA from 1 species
AUGACACUGAUCCAGUGGAACGCCUCGAAAACAUGCGAAGAGAACCCUUCAUUGCACCCGCAUCAUCACCAGUUGCGACGAGGAUGCCGAUGUUGUCGUGCGGUGACAUCAAGAUGGGAGGCAUGGUGGAGGAGCUCAGGGUGUGGCAUGGGGGAGGCCGAGCCUAUAGCGAAGCCACAUGGAUACGUAGCUGAAGGCCUGAACGAAAGCACGAGGAGAAUGAUGGUGACGCCGUGGGCGAGGGAGGCAUGGAGGGAUGAUGCAGUGACGGGCGUAAGAAGAAGGACGGCGACGCUGUGGGCGCGGCCUGACGAUGCCAUGGCGGGAAGCACUCCAACGAGCACAAUGAGAAUGACGGUGGCACUAUGGGCGCAGCACAGUGAUGAAACCGUGGUGGGAGGGGGCAUAUUUGCGGGAUGGGGAGAGAAUGGAGGAAAGAAGAUAGCAUGGCAGCGAGCCGCCCCGCCGGACCACCUGCUGCGUGCAUGGAAACGCAUAGCCACAAGCGCGUCGUCGCCAGCACCCCCUCCUCCUCCCCCCCUCGGCCUCCACCUCCAAGCGCGCCUGCACUGCCCCCUACCCCGGACCGCCCGCAAUGGACCCGUCCCCAUCCUCCGCAGGCUGGGCGCCGGGCUCGACGACCUGCUCCCGGGCUCCGCCGCAGCGGCCGCGGCCUCCUCCACCACCUCCGCACAGCUUAAGCGGAUCCUAGCCGGGCUGCAGGCCGAGGGCGACAAGUCGCGCCAACCUCGUCGCCGUGCUGCCGUCUGCCUGCUCCUCCGUCAAGUACAUGGACCUCCCCGCCAUGGCCAUGGCGCCAUGAGCCCCGAAUCGAGCUAUGUUCCGCCGUGGGACCUGCAUGCCUCACUGCCCCAUCUCCAUUUUCCUGCGGAUUCGGCAAGAUCCGCCAAGGAAUCGUCACCAAUGGCGCUGGCGAGCUCAUUCUCGUUCUCUCGUCCGACGAGGAGGAUUUGGUCAGCUCCGGCUACGAAUCCUUUGGCUCCGACGAGCUCAUCCUCCUACACGGUGUUUCUGCACGCGAGCACAUAUGAGCUCUUUAUCGACACGGUUGAACGAUGCCUUGGGAUGCGGAAAGAACGGAGAACCGACCGCCGUCAGCCUGCGGGAGGCGAGCCGUGGCUCAAGACGUUCGUCUACGUUCUGAUCCUUGGAACAGGAGAAACACUUUCCGGUUGUUCUUGGCCUAGAGGCAGUAACUACGAGGUGGAGGGUUGGCAGUGCUCUGCUUCCUGCAACCACUCCAUCAUCAGCGAGGUCGGGCCUCCUGGGAUCUCAGCCACCGUGCGACGGGACCAUCACAGAAGAGGAGAUGGAAUUUCUGAUGCAGCAAUUAAAAGAUUCAUGGUGCUUGAGGAGGUCAAGCAUAGCGAUGUCCCGAUGGCGCCCCUUCAUUACCCCCUCGUUGCCGCUGCAUCGGGCGAGCCGCAGCACGCACCGGCCCCAGAGCUGAGCAUGGACGGACAAAUCUUUUGGCGGGUGUGGCCUCAUAAAAAGGAUGUGCCUGUUGAAGAAAUGGACUUGCCUUUCAUCCAUGUCCCGACGUGCAUGCCGAUCAGAUACACAGAGCCCCUGUAA